rnacentral:rRNA from 1 species
UACGUAGGGUGCAAGCGUUAAUCGGAAUUACUGGGCGUAAAGCGUGCGCAGGCGGUUUGGCAAGCCAGAUGUGAAAUCCCCGGGCUUAACCUGGGAAUUGCAUUUGUGACUGUACGGCUAGAGUGUGUCAGAGGGGGGUAGAAUUCCACGUGUAGCAGUGAAAUGCGUAGAGAUGUGGAGGAAUACCGAUGGCGAAGGCAGCCCCCUGGGAUAACACUGACGCUCAUGCACGAAAGCGUGGGGAGCAAACAGG